rnacentral:rRNA from 1 species
AUUGAACGCUGGCGGCAGGCCUAACACAUGCAAGUCGAGCGAGCGGCGGACGGGUGAGUAAUGUCUGGGAAACUGCCUGAUGGAGGGGGAUAACUACUGGAAACGGUAGCUAAUACCGCAUACCACCAGAGUGGCCCAGAUGGGAUUGGCUAGUAGGUGGGGUAACGGCUCACCUAGGCGACGACCCCUAGCUGUCCUGGGUGGAUGACCAGCCACACUGGAACUGAGACACGGUCCAGACUCCUACGGGAGGCAGCAGUGGGGAAUAUUGCACAAUGAGCGCAAGCCUGAUGCAGCCGUGCCGCGUGUGUGAAGAAGGCCUUCGGGUUGUAAAGCACUUUCAGCGGGGAGGCGUUACCCGCAGAAGAAGCACCGGCUAACUCCGUGCCAGCAGCCGCGGUAAUAC